AAGGCUUCCGGUGUUGUUUGCUUUCGGUUAGCUGUACAAAAACAAGUCAGUGGAGAUCAAACUGUUCAGAUCCAUCAUGGGUAAAAUAGAAACAUCUGGAGAUGAAGAAUUUUUUCCAGGAUGCAGUUCAGUUCAUCAGAAGAGAUCAGAAGCAGAGUCCAGCUGUGUGUCUGUGAAGAGUCUAUGGAGCAGCCAGUAAUGAUUAACAGUGGCAAUUCAUGGUCUGGUCUCAGGUAUAACAUAUGUAUAAAAUAUGCUUAUAGCAUGACAUUUUAUAUUAUAUAUUUAAUUGCAUUUUAGUUCAUAAUUUUUGUAUAAACACAGUGUAUGAGUGCCAGUCCUGGUUCCCCAUGUCCUGUGUUUCCCUCACUCUUGUGCCUUUAUUUGGUUAGUUCCUGUUCCUGUCCCCGUUUCGGUUAUUAGUUUCCCUGAUCAGUUCCCAUGUGGAAAAGUUUUGUUAAAAACACCUGUGAUUCUUAUAUGUUCCAACAGAAUAUCAUAAGGGACUUAUAUGCUUCAAAAACCACAUAUACAAAAUGCAUAAUAUUAAUGUAUUUUCAAUCAUAUAUGUUAUAUAUGUCUUGCAUACGACUAAAGCCUUAUAGAUUUUCAUGAUGUAAAAACAUAGGGAAAGAAUGCUAAUUUAAUGUGAAUGUCCACCACAUUUCUUGAGAUGUGUAUAAAACAUUGUGAAGUUUACCCAGUUUCCCUUCUUUGAACCGUUGCUGUCUGGUCGACAAAAUUGUCUAUUGUAAUAUUUAAUUGUUCUAUUUUUAUUCUUUUAUUAUCUGUGUUUUGUUCUGUCGCUGUCAUUCUGUUGCACUGUGGAGCUUCUGUCACAAAACAAAUUCUUUGUAUGUGUAAACAUACCUGGCAAUAAAGCUCAUUCUGAUAAGGCUGUACUUAAAUCAUUCCCUUGCUCUUAUCUUGUCCUAAGUGGAGCCCUAUGUCUAUAGUCAAUCAUAGUCAUAACCUGUAUACUGAUUUUCAGCCUUAGAUGAAACACAAAAUUUUAACUACACACACAAGCACACAU